UACUAGAGUAGCACUCGCAUAUCAAUAAGCGGAGGAAAAGAAACUAACAAGGAUUCCCCUAGUAACGGCGAGUGAAGCGGGAAGAGCUCAAAUUUGAAAUCUUAAAGGGUUUCCCUUUACGAAUUGUAGUUUAAAGAAGUGUUUUCUGCUGAGGUUUUGGUAAAAGUUCUUUGGAAUAGGACAUCAUAGAGGGUGAGAAUCCCGUAUUUGACCUUUACUUUCAACUUUGUGAUACACUUUCAAAGAGUCGGAUUGUUUGGGAAUGCAGUCCAAAAUGGGUGGUAAAUUUCAUCUAAAGCUAAAUAUUGGCGAGAGACCGAUAGCGAACAAGUACCGUGAGGGAAAGAUGAAAAGAACUUUGAAAAGAGAGUUAAACAGUACGUGAAAUUGUCAAAAGGGAAGCGUUUGACACCAGUGUUGUUUUUCUGAAAAUCAAUUAAAGAACUGUUUAUGCUAAGCUGUUUAGACUUUAUCAGCUAACUGUUUAGUUUUAGGCUUUUCUUUAAUGCACUUUUCAGUUAACAAGUCAACAUCAAUUUCUUUUGCUGUAAAAAAGCUUGAGGAAGGUGGCUUGAGAUUCGUCUUAAGUGUUUAUAGCCUCUUGCCUAUGCAGUCGGAGAGAUUGAGGUCUGCAGCGUAGAUCCUUCGGGGCUAAAUGCAUUUGUGCUAAGUUAUAGCAUUUUAUAGACAACUUGUUGACUAUGAUUUGUCUUGUAGCUUACUCGCUUAUGUUAUUUUACCUACGCUUAGGAUGUUGAGCGCAUGUCUCUCUCU
rnacentral:rRNA from 1 species